rnacentral:lncRNA from 1 species
GGGUGGAACAUGAGAGGUGCCAAUUAUGAACCUUUAUAUAAUAUAAAGAUUAUGAACCUUUUAUCUCCAGUGGAGUGCUCCAGAGAUGUAGGGGCUUCAGUUUUUGGGAAUGAUUAUCCAAGGAUGGGGAAGACAGUGCUCCAAACCAUCUGUGUGAGCUGAUUCAGCCCUCUCAGCAUCAGCUCUUUCCCCUCAUGGGUAAAGUUUCAAAGCUAACACAGGCCCUGACAACUUUGGGGCUGUAAGCAGUAGUCUCCGGUAUUCCAGAUCAUCUCUUCUUCAUGGCCUGGCUCAGUGAUACUCUGGCAUUGAUUAAAAUAUGUGUCAAAGACUGACAGACAACACUAUACAUGUCUAUAGCUAUAUACACAAUAUAUAUUUACAAACUAUAUUAUGUAUAUAGGUAUAAAUAUAUAAAGUUUAUAUAAAGAAGAGGACAAUAGUAAAUUUCUGCUUUUUGUUUUUAUUAUUUAUUGUAUUUAAAGGUCUGAGGUAGAGAAAGGUUCUCUGGAAUGGUCUCAGGCCACUGUACAGCAACAGCUCUGAGUGGCCACAUAGUGCUGCAUCUGAACCCCUGACCCAGGAACAAAAUGAAUUACGUGUAGACUGAGGUAUGGAGAUGGGACAACUCCAGUUUCUCACGUUUCAAAGGAAUAAAGCAGUGACUGUAGACAGUGGUUGCUUGGAGCUAGCUCUUCUCUUCCCAGCUUGCCUAUGGAUCCUCCUGAGCAGCCAUCUUUCACAUGCAUGCUCAGGAGAACAUUCUGGAAAGCAGCUCAAGUGUGAAAUUUUGGGAAGAGCCUUUGUUGCUGACUUCAGACAGGAAAAUCACACCCUGGAAGAGGAAAAGGCCAAGAGUGCUAGCAGGUCUGUUCCUACUAAAGGGCUGAUGGUACUUGCAUGGUGCAGAAACGUUGAAUUUUCUCUCUGCUUCCUGAGAGAAUUAUUAGACUGGCUGGUUUGAUAAAUUCAGGCAGACUGCUUUGACUUUCAAUGCACAAAAGUUGUACAAAGUUGUUUAUAUAUAUAUAUACAAAUAUUUUGAAUAUUUAUAUCUGGGUACAGGGUACCCAGAGAAUCUGUGGCUGCCCCACCCCUGGAAGUGUUCAAGGUCAGGUAGGAUGGGGCUUUGAGCAACCUGGAAUAGUGGAAGGUGUCCCUGCCCAUAGCAGGGGCUUUGGGACUAGGUGAUCUUUGAGGUCCCUUCCAACCCAGGCCAUUCAGUGAUUGUGUGGCAGUUGGGGCUGCACACGAUGUGCUGAUGGUGUGGGUGGCAUUGGCAGCACAUCCUGACAUGGGUGAGCCCACGGGAGCUGCUGCACCCACGGCCAGCAGUUCACCCUGUCACCCCUCUGCUCGUCCCCAGCCAGAUGCUCUGCCUCCAGCUCAGCACUGAGGUCUACAGGGCCCUCUCUGAGGAGAUGAGAAGAGAAAAAUCAGUGUCAGGCAUGCUCUUCAUCCUGCAGAGCUGCUGCUGGGGGUGCAGGGGCUGCACCAGGGAAGGGCUGAAAUCAGCUGGCUGGAGGGACACCAUCCCAUGCCUAUCAAUCAGAUGGUGAUGGGAAACUACGUGGGCUUUUCACUCACCCACAAGGUCUUUCAGUUAAAAAGACCAAAUGUGAUACGGCUCCUCCUUAAGCCCCUUUGAUAUUUAGAGAGUGAAAAAUUAAGUUUUGUUUCAGCUGAGAUCUAGCACAGCUCCACAUGUCAGUUUGCUUCAGCAAAUAGGCAGCGUUUCUAUGUUUUUUACUUAGAAAUCUCUGUUUAUAAUAAAACAAACAUACAGCUUCA